AUUGAACGCUGGCGGCAGGCUUAACACAUGCAAGUCGAGCGGAGUGAUGGUGCUUGCACUAUCACUUAGCGGCGGACGGGUGAGUAAUGCUUAGGAAUCUGCCAUUUAGUGGGGGACAACAUUCCGAAAGGAAUGCUAAUACCGCAUACGUCCUACGGGAGAAAGCAGGGGAUCUUCGGACCUUGCGCUAAAUGAUGAGCCUAAGUCAGAUUAGCUAGUUGGUGGGGUAAAGGCCUACCAAGGCGACGAUCUGUAGCGGGUCUGAGAGGAUGAGCCGCCACACUGGGACUGAGACACGGCCCAGACUCCUACGGGAGGCAGCAGUGGGGAAUAUUGGACAAUGGGCGGAAGCCUGAUCUAGCCAUGCCGCGUGUGUGAAGAAGGCCUUUUGGUUGUAAAGCACUUUAAGCGAGGAGGAGGCUACUAGUACUAAUACUACUGGAUAGUGGACGUUACUCGCAGAAUAAGCACCGGCUAACUCUGUGCCAGCCGCCGCCGUAA
rnacentral:rRNA from 1 species